rnacentral:lncRNA from 1 species
UCGCAGAUAUAUACAUAGAUAUAUAUCUUUAUAUAUAUAUAUGAAAGCAAGUAAAAGGAGAGAUAUUCGAUCCAUGCUCAACUAUUCAGUUCAAGUCUCUCUCUCUCUCCCUCUCUCUUUCUCUCUCUCUAUAUAUAUAUAUAUUAAAGCAAGAGAAAGCUUCAAAUCUGAAAAAAUCUUACAGUGUGCUACAAAGAAGGCUUCAGACCGCUUUUGGAGCUUGAAAACUCAGUUUCCACUAGUUAAAAUGUGAUAUGUCGUAGUAUAUAUGUAUACAAGUGUUUAGAAAGAAGAAUAUGGAAGUUUGGAACACUAUAGGAGGGGUUUAAGAGCUGAAAUGGAUAAAUUUUUCUGUCUUUCUCUCCAUUUUUUCAUUUUUCUUUUUGGCUGAUGGGGCGUCUUAUUUAUAGACCAAAGCAGUCGUGGGUCUACUUAAAGAUGCCUGGGUGGGCCCGGGUCCCAUUGUCUUGAAGUACAG